rnacentral:lncRNA from 1 species
CAACAGGAUUUAUUCUAGGAUCCCCAAUGAUGGAGAAGAACCAGGCUCUGAAAGCAGGACGCAUUUGGCACAGUUAACCCUCCUCCAUGAUGUCAGCCCUAAUGUCAGAGGAGGAAACAUUGUGUUUGGGUCAAAAGACAUUCCUCCAAAUAAUGUUCCUAAUUAACCAAAAAUCUAGAGGGAGUACGCCAACAUUAUAGCUAAAGUUAGAGUUUCUAAGCACAGUCUGGAAGCUCAGGAUGAGAACCGAAGAGACAUGCCACAUGGAUUAUAGUGCUUCUUAUAUUGCAGGAUUCAAAAAAACCUCUGCACUCAUGUUUAUAAGCCCAGCCUAACAUGAGAUUCUCUUCUUACAUCCCAAAAGGUCAUUAUUAUUUUAUUCCAAUAUCUCAUAAUUAUUUUAGGCUUGCCACAAAUAUCAGACCUUAAAGUAUGUAAAUUGUUUUAACACUGUCGUUUUGUGUAUAAUUUUGUCAGUUCUAGCAAAGUUUUACUAAAAUAAGAGGAACUGCAAAUUUAAAUAUGUACAAUUGCAAGGAACAUGGUGAAUAUUGCUGCUUAUAAAUGCUACACCAAUUUCUACAAAUGACAUUGAUGAGUACCAAUUAUUAGCAAACCAGAGUGGGGGGAAAGUGCGAUAUGAAAUAGGUGGUAUUAAGUAACUUUUGGCAGGAAAAGUAUGACUGUUUUUUUCAGUCUUUUAAUCGCUUUAGAUCUUUGGAGCCGAAUUUUGAACUGAUUUCCAAUGUAUAUAUUACACUAUAUCUUUUCCUCCCCAUGAUAUUUAAUGUUUCUUCUUCAUUUUCCCCCUAGUUUCAUGGCUCUUCAUGAACAAUAUGCACACCCUCCAAGAAAGAAAAGCAAUUUGAUCCUCUUGGUGUAAAUCUGCCUACGGCUUUGGUAUUCACAGAACAGCUUGGCUCACCUUUUCCUGAGCUGGGAGUCAACAAUGUUUCAUUAUUUUACCAUUAAACCUUGUGGUUCAAAAGUCCUGAGAUCAAGUAACACUAAAUAUUUCUUUCUCUUCAAACAAGCAAUAAAGAAGAAAACUACCUUGGUGUUCUGAAGUCAUGAUGCUCAGUCUAAAUUGCUGACCCCAUCCAAAGCCUGACAUCCAUGUGUCAGCCAAGGUAACAAUUGUUCCACAAAUAAAGUAUCUCAUGAGACCUUCAAGGUUAAGGACAUUUUGUCUUUAGCAUUAGUUAGUAUCACUCUAACUGCAUAUAAACCUAUGAACAAAGUAAUUCUUUAGAAAACUUAAUUUUUAAGUUGAUGCAACUCUAAUUCCAGUAAUAUGUUAGAAAUAGCUAAUCUAUU